UAGGGAAUAUUGGACAAUGGGUGAGAGCCUGAUCCAGCCAUGCCGCGUGCAGGAAGAAGGCGUUAUGCGUUGUAAACUGCUUUUUGCCAGGGGAUAAAAAGACCGUGCGCGGUUAAUUGAAGGUACCUGGUGAAUAAGCCACGGCUAACUACGUGCCAGCAGCCGCGGUAAUACGUAGGUGGCAAGCGUUGUCCGGAUUUAUUGGGUUUAAAGGGUGCGUAGGUGGCCCUGUAAGUCAGUGGUGAAAUAUCUCAGCUUAACUGAGAGGGUGCCAUUGAUACUGCAGGGCUUGAGUACAGAUGAGGUAGGCGGAAUUGACGGUGUAGCGGUGAAAUGCAUAGAUAUCGUCAAGAACACCGAUAGCGAAGGCAGCUUACCAAGCUGUAACUGACACUGAGGCACGAAAGCGUGGGGAGCAAACAGGAUUAGAUACCCUCGUAGUCCCUGAGCGGGCUGGCAAGGCGC
rnacentral:rRNA from 1 species